rnacentral:rRNA from 1 species
CGGUCAAGCUAAAAAGGGCGCAAGGUGAAUGCCUUGGCACUGGGAGCCGAUGAAAGACGUGGUAAGCUGCGAAAAGCUUCGGGGAGGAGCAAACAUCCAUUGAUCCGGAGAUAUCUGAAUGGGGCAACCCAAUGGAGUUCAUACUCCAUUAUCCAAUACUGAAUCCAUAGGUAUUGGAAGGGAACCGCCUGAACUGAAACAUCUAAGUAGGGCGAGGAAGAGACAUCAAACGAGAUUCCGUAAGUAGUGGCGAGCGAACGCGGAAGAGGGCAAACCGAGAGGAGAAAUCCUUUCGGGGUACGGACUGCUUUAAAGACUGGAAGAGUUAACAGAAUGGCAUGGGAAGGCCAACCGAAGAGUGUGAGAGUCACGUAAGUAAAAAUUCUGACAGCUGCGCAGGAUCCAGAGUACGGCCAGACACGUGAAACCUGGUCGGAACACGGGGGGACCACCCUCCAACCCUAAAUACUACCCAGUGACCGAUAGCGUAUAGUACUGUGAAGGAAAGGUGAAAAGGACCCCGGGAGGGGAGUGAAAGAGAACCUGAAACCUUGUGCCUACAAGCACAUAGAGCCCGUCAAAGGGUGAUAUGGUACUUUUUGUAGAACGGUCCGGCGAGCGAUUGUACGUUGCGAGCUUAAGGUCUUAAGGACUGGAGGCGUAGCGAGAGCGAGUCUAAACAGGGCGUUUAGUAGCGUGCAAUGGGCCCGAAACCGGGUGACCUACCCAUGAUCAGGCUGAAGUGAAAGUAAAAUUUCAUGGAGGGCCGAACCGACCUCCGUUGAAAAGGCGGCGGAUGAAUUGUGGGUAGCGGAGAAAUUCCAAUCGAACUCGGAGAUAGCUGGUUCUCCCCGAAAUAGCUUUAGGGCUAGCCUCAUGUUAGAUAUCCGGAGGUAAAGCACUGAAUGGCCUAGCGUCCGAGAGGAUAGCGAAGCCUAUCAAACUAAGAAUGCCGGAAUAUUGAUGCAUGGGAGUCAGACAGUGUGAGAUAAAUCUCAUUGUCAAAAGGGAAACAGCCCAGAUCUACAGCUAAGGUCCCAAAUUGUAUCUAAGUGGAAAACGAUGUGGAAAUACGCAGACAACCAGGAUGUUGGCUCAGAAGCAGCCACUCAUUUAAAGAGUGCGUAAUAGCUCACUGGUCGAGCGUCUCUGCGCGGAAAAUUUAACGGGGCUAAGAUACAAACCGAAGCUUAGGCUACAUACGUAAGUAUGCGGGGUAGGGGAGCGUUGUGUAAGCGGAGAAACAGUAGCGGAAGCGGCUGUGGAGUUUACAGAAGUGAGAAUGCCGGAAUGAGUAGCGCGAAUGAUGUGAGAAUCAUCAUGGCCGGAAACCUCAGGUUUUUGGAGGAAGGUUCGUCCGCUCCAAGUUAGGCGGGAGCUAAGGUGAGGCCGAAAGGCGUAGCCGAUGCACAGACGGUAGAGAUUCCGUCCCCACCGAAAGAUUUAAGCGCAGGGACACUUUUAGAAGGUCGGAGCCAGGUGUUGGUUCUGGUAGAGAUCGAGGGAAAUUUAGUACCGAAGUCCGGCUGGAUAAGAGGCGAGAAAAGCUGCGUGUAUAUCUAAGGUGCCCGUACCGCAAACCGACACAGGUAGGUAGGAAGAAGAUUCUAAGGCCAACGGGAGAAGGGUUGUUAAGGAACUCGGCAAGUUGACCCCGUAACUUCGGAAUAAGGGGUGCUCAUGAAAGUGAGCCGCAGAGAAUAGGCCCAGGCAACUGUUUACCAAAAACACAGGUUUGUGCUAAAUCGAAAGAUGACGUAUACGAGCUGACGCCUGCCCGGUGCUGGAAGGUUAAAAGGAGAUGUGCAAGCAUUGAAUUGAAGCCCCAGUGAACGGCGGCCGUAACUAUAACGGUCCUAAGGUAGCGAAAUUCCUUGUCAGGUAAGUUCUGACCCGCAUGAAAGGCGUAACGAUUUGGGCACUGUCUCAACGAGAGACUCGGUGAAAUUUUAGUACC